rnacentral:rRNA from 1 species
GAUGAACGCUGGCGGAAUGCUUUGCACAUGCAAGUCGAACGGCAGCACGGGGCAACCUGGUGGCGAGUGGCGAACGGGUGAGUAAUACAUCGGAACGUGCCCAAUCGUGGGGGAUAACGCAGCGAAAGUUACGCUAAUACCGCAUACGAUCUACGGAUGAAAGCGGGGGAUCGCAAGACCUCGCGCGAUUGGAGCGGCCGAUGUCAGAUUAGGUAGUUGGUGGGGUAAAGGCUCACCAAGCCAACGAUCUGUAGCUGGUCUGAGAGGACGACCAGCCACACUGGGACUGAGACACGGCCCAGACUCCUACGGGAGGCAGCAGUGGGGAAUUUUGGACAAUGGGCGCAAGCCUGAUCCAGCCAUUCCGCGUGCAGGAUGAAGGCCUUCGGGUUGUAAACUGCUUUUGUACGGAACGAAACGGUUCUCUCUAAUACAGGGGGCUAAUGACGGUACCGUAAGAAUAAGCACCGGCUAACUACGUGCCAGCCGCCGCAGUAAGAC